GACGAACGCUGGCGGCGUGCUUAACACAUGCAAGUCGAACGGAAAGGCCCUUCGGGGUACUCGAGUGGCGAACGGGUGAGUAACACGUGGGUGAUCUGCCCUGCACUUUGGGAUAAGCCUGGGAAACUGGGUCUAAUACCGAAUAGGACCACGCGCUUCAUGGUGUGUGGUGGAAAGCUUUUGCGGUGUGGGAUGGGCCCGCGGCCUAUCAGCUUGUUGGUGGGGUAAUGGCCUACCAAGGCGACGACGGGUAGCCGGCCUGAGAGGGUGACCGGCCACACGGGGAAUGAGAUACGGCCCAGACUCCUACGGGAGGAAGCAGUGGGGAAUAUGCACAAUGGGCGCAAGCCUGAUGCAGCGACGCCGCGUGAGGGAUGACGGCCUUCGGGUUGUAAACCUCUUUCAAUAGGGACGAGGCGCAAGUGACGGUACCUAUAGAAGAAGCACCGGCCAACUACGUG
rnacentral:rRNA from 1 species